rnacentral:tRNA from 1 species
GGAAGGGUAGUCCGGUGGUUAGGGCACUAGCUUGCAACUCCGGUGAUUUUGGUUCAAGUCCCAGCUCUGCCA